rnacentral:misc_RNA from 1 species
UUUCCGUAGGUGAACCUGCGGAAGGAUCAUUACAGAGUUCAUGCCCUCACGGGUAGAUCUCCCACCCUUGAAUAUUUAUACCUUAGUUGCUUUGGCAGGCCGUGGAAACACCAUGGGCUCCGGCUUAUGCGUGCCUGCCAGAGGAAACAAACUCUGUUUUUAGUGAUGUUUGAGUACUAUAUAAUAGUUAAAACUUUCAACAACGGAUCUCUUGGUUCUG